rnacentral:rRNA from 1 species
GUAGGUGGCAAGCGUUGUCCGGAAUUAUUGGGCGUAAAGCGCGCGCAGGCGGUUCUUUAAGUCUGAUGUGAAAGCCCACGGGCUCAACCGUGGAGGGUCAUUGGAAACUGGGGAACUUGAGUACAGAAGAGGAAAGCGGAAUUCCACGUGUAGCGGUGAAAUGCGUAGAGAUGUGGAGGAACACCAGUGGCGAAGGCGGCUUUCUGGUCUGUAACUGACGCUGAGGCGCGAAAGCGUGGGGAGCAAACAGGAUUAGAUACCCUGGUAGUCCACGCCGUAAACGAUGAGUGCUAAGUGUUAGGGGGUUUCCGCCCCUUAGUGCUGCAGCUAACGCAUUAAGCACUCCGCCUGGGGAGUACGGCCGCAAAGGCUG